rnacentral:rRNA from 1 species
AUGGCAGCGUCCCCCGACGCCGACGACGUCCACAUGGCCGAGCUGCCGCUGGAGACGCGGUGCCCGCCGUCGCCGCUCAGGCGGUACGGCGGCUUCUGGUGGCCCGAGCCGAUCCUCCCGGGAGUCGUGGCCGCGCGCGCGCGGUUCGUGCCCAGGCCGUCCGACGUCUUCCUCGCCAGCUUCCCCAAGUCCGGCACCACCUGGCUCAAGGCCCUCGCCUUCGCCGCGGACCACCCGCCGCGCGCCCCCGAUCACCCGCUCCGCUGCCGCAACCCGCACGACUGCGUCGAGUUCCUGGAGGGGCUCUUCGCGCUCUCGCCGUCGCCGGUCAUCAGAGGCGGAGACGUGUUCGCGGCGCACCCUUCGCCGCGCGUCAUCGCCACCCACAUCCCUUACCUCCUGCCGGAGCGGGUCACCGCGGAGGGCGCCGGAUGCAAGGUCGUGUACGUCUGCCGCGACCCCAAGGACGCCUUCGUCUCCACGUGGAUGUUCGCCAAGAAGAUGAUGGAGGCCGCCGCUGACGCCGACAACAAUGCGCCAUUCGCGAUCGAGGACGCGUUCGAGCUCUACUGCCAUGGCCGCUCUAUGGGCGGCCCGCAGUGGCACCACGUUGCCGGCUAUUGGGAUGCGAGCCGGAGGCGGCCCGAGAAGGUGCUCUUCCUCCAGUACGAGGACAUGCUCCGGGACCCGGCGGGCAACGUAAGUAAGCUGGCGGAGUUCAUGGGGUGCGCGUUCUCCGACGGGGAGGAGGCCGCGGGGGUGGUGCGGGACAUCGUGGAGCUCUGCAGCAUCGACGCCUUGAAGAACAUGGAGGUGAACAAGAAUGGUGGUCAAUUGUACGUGAAGAACGAGUCCUUCUUCCGGAAGGGGGUCGCCGGCGACUGGAGGAACCACUUGACGCCGGCGAUGGCUGCGCGGCUGGACAAGAUUGUCGAGGAUGCACUCCAAGGGUCGGAGUUCACCUUCAACGCCAUGGCUGACCGGUAG